UUUCCGUAGGUGAACCUGCGGAAGGAUCAUUAAAGAGUAAGGGUGCUCAGCGCCCGACCUCCAACCCUUUGUUGUUAAAACUACCUUGUUGCUUUGGCGGGACCGCUCGGUCUCGAGCCGCUGGGGAUUCGUCCCAGGCGAGCGCCCGCCAGAGUUAAACCAAACUCUUGUUAUUUAACCGGUCGUCUGAGUUAAAAUUUUGAAUAAAUCAAAACUUUCAACAACGGAUCUCUUGGUUCUCGCAUCGAUGAAGAACGCAGCGAAAUGCGAUAAGUAAUGUGAAUUGCAGAAUUCAGUGAAUCAUCGAAUCUUUGAACGCACAUUGCGCCCCUUGGUAUUCCGAGGGGCAUGCCUGUUCGAGCGUCAUUACACCACUCAAGCUAUGCUUGGUAUUGGGCGUCGUCCUUAGUUGGGCGCGCCUUAAAGACCUCGGCGAGGCCACUCCGGCUUUAGGCGUAGUAGAAUUUAUUCGAACGUCUGUCAAAGGAGAGGAACUCUGCCGACUGAAACCUUUAUUUUUCUAGGUUGACCUCGGAUCAGGUAGGGAUACCCGCUGAACUUAAGCAUAUCAAUAAGCGGAGGAAA
rnacentral:rRNA from 1 species